rnacentral:rRNA from 1 species
AGCGUACACGGUGGAUGCCCUGGCAGUCAGAGGCGAUGAAGGGCGUGCUAAUCUGCGAUAAGCGCCGGUAAGGUGAUAUGAACCGUUAUAACCGGCGAUACCCGAAUGGGGAAACCCAGUGUGAUUCGUCACACUAUCAUUAACUGAAUCCAUAGGUUAAUGAGGCGAACCGGGGGAACUGAAACAUCUAAGUACCCCGAGGAAAAGAAAUCAACCGAGAUUCCCCCAGUAGCGGCGAGCGAACGGGGAGGAGCCCAGAGCCUGAAUCAGCAUGUGUGUUAGUGGAAGCGUCUGGAAAGGCGCGCGAUACAGGGUGACAGCCCCGUACACAAAAGCGCAUGUGCUGUGAGCUCGAUGAGUAGGGCGGGACACGUGGUAUCCUGUCUGAAUAUGGGGGGACCAUCCUCCAAGGCUAAAUACUCCUGACUGACCGAUAGUGAACCAGUACCGUGAGGGAAAGGCGAAAAGAACCCCGGCGAGGGGAGUGAAAAAGAACCUGAAACCGUGUACGUACAAGCAGUGGGAGCACAGGUUUACCUGUGUGACUGCGUACCUUUUGUAUAAUGGGUCAGCGACUUAUAUUCUGUAGCAAGGUUAACCGUAUAGGGGAGCCGGAGGGAAACCGAGUCUUAACCGGGCGUUAAGUUGCAGGGUAUAGACCCGAAACCCGGUGAUCUAGCCAUGGGCAGGUUGAAGGUUGGGUAACACUAACUGGAGGACCGAACCGACUAAUGUUGAAAAAUUAGCGGAUGACCUGUGGCUGGGGGUGAAAGGCCAAUCAAACCGGGAGAUAGCUGGUUCUCCCCGAAAGCUAUUUAGGUAGCGCCUCGUGAAUUCAUCUCCGGGGGUAGAGCACUGUUUCGGCUAGGGGGCCAUCCCGGCUUACCAACCCGAUGCAAACUGCGAAUACCGGAGAAUGUUAUCACGGGAGACACACGGCGGGUGCUAACGUCCGUCGUGAAGAGGGAAACAACCCAGACCGCCAGCUAAGGUCCCAAAGUCAUGGUUAAGUGGGAAACGAUGUGGGAAGGCCCAGACAGCCAGGAUGUUGGCUUAGAAGCAGCCAUCAUUUAAAGAAAGCGUAAUAGCUCACUGGUCGAGUCGGCCUGCGCGGAAGAUGUAACGGGGCUAAACCAUGCACCGAAGCUGCGGCAGCGACGCUGAUGCGUUGUUGGGUAGGGGAGCGUUCUGUAAGCCUGCGAAGGUGGCCUGUGAGGGUUGCUGGAGGUAUCAGAAGUGCGAAUGCUGACAUAAGUAACGAUAAAGCGGGUGAAAAGCCCGCUCGCCGGAAGACCAAGGGUUCCUGUCCAACGUUAAUCGGGGCAGGGUGAGUCGACCCCUAAGGCGAGGCCGAAAGGCGUAGUCGAUGGGAAACGGGUUAAUAUUCCCGUACUUGGUGUUACUGCGAAGGGGGGACGGAGAAGGCUAUGUUGGCCGGGCGACGGUUGUCCCGGUUUAAGCGUGUAGGUGUGUGUUCCAGGUAAAUCCGGUUCACUUUAACACUGAGGCGUGACGACGAGGCACUACGGUGCUGAAGCAACAAAUGCCCUGCUUCCAGGAAAAGCCUCUAAGCAUCAGGUAACAUCAAAUCGUACCCCAAACCGACACAGGUGGUCAGGUAGAGAAUACCAAGGCGCUUGAGAGAACUCGGGUGAAGGAACUAGGCAAAAUGGUGCCGUAACUUCGGGAGAAGGCACGCUGACACGUAGGUGAAGUGAUUUACUCAUGGAGCUGAAGUCAGUCGAAGAUACCAGCUGGCUGCAACUGUUUAUUAAAAACACAGCACUGUGCAAACACGAAAGUGGACGUAUACGGUGUGACGCCUGCCCGGUGCCGGAAGGUUAAUUGAUGGGGUCAGCGCAAGCGAAGCUCCUGAUCGAAGCCCCGGUAAACGGCGGCCGUAACUAUAACGGUCCUAAGGUAGCGAAAUUCCUUGUCGGGUAAGUUCCGACCUGCACGAAUGGCGUAAUGAUGGCCAGGCUGUCUCCACCCGAGACUCAGUGAAAUUGAACUCGCUGUGAAGAUGCAGUGUACCCGCGGCAAGACGGAAAGACCCCGUGAACCUUUACUAUAGCUUGACACUGAACAUUGAGCCUUGAUGUGUAGGAUAGGUGGGAGGCUUUGAAGUGUGGACGCCAGUCUGCAUGGAGCCGACCUUGAAAUACCACCCUUUAAUGUUUGAUGUUCUAACGUGGACCCGUGAUCCGGGUUGCGGACAGUGUCUGGUGGGUAGUUUGACUGGGGCGGUCUCCUCCUAAAGAGUAACGGAGGAGCACGAAGGUUGGCUAAUCCUGGUCGGACAUCAGGAGGUUAGUGCAAUGGCAUAAGCCAGCUUGACUGCGAGCGUGACGGCGCGAGCAGGUGCGAAAGCAGGUCAUAGUGAUCCGGUGGUUCUGAAUGGAAGGGCCAUCGCUCAACGGAUAAAAGGUACUCCGGGGAUAACAGGCUGAUACCGCCCAAGAGUUCAUAUCGACGGCGGUGUUUGGCACCUCGAUGUCGGCUCAUCACAUCCUGGGGCUGAAGUAGGUCCCAAGGGUAUGGCUGUUCGCCAUUUAAAGUGGUACGCGAGCUGGGUUUAGAACGUCGUGAGACAGUUCGGUCCCUAUCUGCCGUGGGCGCUGGAGAACUGAGGGGGGCUGCUCCUAGUACGAGAGGACCGGAGUGGACGCAUCACUGGUGUUCGGGUUGUCAUGCCAAUGGCACUGCCCGGUAGCUAAAUGCGGAAGAGAUAAGUGCUGAAAGCAUCUAAGCACGAAACUUGCCCCGAGAUGAGUUCU